GAGAACGUUAAAAGAACUGCUAACUCUUUAUACCAUAUUUAACAAAUAUGGCUUUCUCA
rnacentral:tRNA from 1 species